UACGUAGGAGGCAAGCGUUGUCCGGAAUUACUGGGCGUAAAGCGCGUGUAGGUGGUGGGACAAGUCUGCUGUGAAAGCGCCUGGCUUAACCGGGCGAGGUCGGCGGAAACUGUCGCACUCGAGGACGGUAGAGGGGGGUGGAAUUCCCGGUGUAGUGGUGAAAUGCGUAGAGAUCGGGAGGAACACCUGUGGCGAAGGCGGCCCCCCUGGGCCGGCCCUGACACUGAGACGCGAAGGCGUGGGGAGCGAACGGG
rnacentral:rRNA from 1 species